AGAUGUUUUACUACCAACAUGUGAAGAGGCAGGAGGGCAGAGGUAAGUGUCACAAUUAUUACAUGAUCACCUAAUCGCAAUUAUUUGAGCUGACUGCAAUAAUUUUGCACAGUUGUUAGAUUCCACAAUCAAGGCAAUUUUACAUGAAAGAAACAUAAAUGCCAUAUUUCCAUCACAUUUUCCACCUUGUUUUCCACCAUUUGAGGUUUUACUGGCGCUAUUUUAAUUACAUGAUCACAUUGUGCCCUUUUCUCCUGCAAUGGUUUAAUGGCACCUGACUGGAGAAUUAGUGCCCCCAACUAUUUGCCUUGAUACGCUUCUAAUAUUCCCAUAAUGGUAGUGGAUGGAAAUGCACAUUAAGUGGCAUUUUCUUUUGCUGAUUUUCUUUAAAUUGAAUUAAAAUUUUUGCUACAUGUGGAUGGAAGCCUGUCUAAUGUUAAAAAUGUCACAACAAAUAGAAUACGAAUUAGGUGCAUUUCCAUGAGUUGGGUUGAGGCACAUAAACGGUCUACCUGAGCACAAGGUUCCAAUGACAGAAAAAAAAAAAAAGAGCUUGGCUGUCUAGACCUUACUGCUAUUUGGCAGGUUCUUUUGUUUCACUCAAAUGAGACCAUAUUUGAAGUAAAUAUUAGAAAUAUAUUCAUAUAUUAGAUUGUAAUUAAUUCCCAUGCAUGCUGCUCAGAGUAAUCGCAGUCCUCGGCUCUUCUGCCAACAGCGCCGGCUCUUGUCUCUCCUUUUGUGCCACGUGCAGACAGUCAGUAGGUGCACUGUUUGGGGCAGGCAGGUUUGAACUUCUCUCUCACUCUCUCUCUCUGGAUUACAGUGUUCCUAUAGCUUGUAAAUAUUUAAAUAAUUUCUUUGAUCUUCUCCCUCCCUUUGUAGAUUUUGUAAAAAUUCUUUACUUCAAAUAUACCAUGUCCCUGUAGUAAGUUUGUGAUUAUUUGGCUAAAGAUCUCUCCGAUGCUGCAACUGACACAACCCCUAUGCUUUAUGUAAAUGAAUGUGAUUGAAUGCGAUGCAAAUGUCCUUAAAAUGACAAUAAUAUCGUUCAUCGCAAUUAUUGCAGGGACAAUAUAUCGUGACAGGCCUGGUGAUGGGUGUAACCUAAUGGGUGUAAUGUGCUUAGCCUCCGUGGGUCUUCAGACUGUGGUGGAAACACACACAACAAUGGGCUGAAGGAAACUUUUAGUUCUUUGAAAAGUAGUUCCCGGGAAUAAAAGUUCCGGGUACUGUGAGUGGAAACAUGGCUGUAGUGAUCAUUUUGAAUUAUUUUAGGGAGGAAAACUGGAGUUGGAAAGAGACUCCAGGACUCAUUCCCUGGCCUGAUAACCGUGUACUGUGGCACAUCGCCUUAAUGUGGCUGUGUCAGGCUGCAUUAAGGGGGGGGGGGACCAUACUUCAUCAAAUAUGCCAGGACUGUUGGAACUAUCUUCUGGUUCUACCAGGCCUCCAGCAACAGGACUAGCAGUCUUAAGGGAAUGGAGAGGCUUUUUGAAAUCCCCCAAAUCAAACUGCAGGUUAGCAGUACGUAGCUGUAUUCCUUUGUAAAGGAUCAGUUUUUUUCCCCCAGCCUUGUGCCUAAUGCAACUUGUGCAUGAGAAGAUCCGCCAGCAGUUUUUGGUUUUCCAAAAGAGAAACCUUCUCUUCUCCCAGGUGGAGCAGGAGGUCACAAUGUAAAUGACAUCCCUGACACAGCUGAGAGAGUAGCAUAUUCAAGGACCACUGGCAGGCAUGGCUCCAGUCAGAUGCUGGUCUGAAGCCAAGAUGAGAUCCCUGCAUACUUCAAAGAUGAUGUCUGAGAGAGGAUCAAGAACACUCUAAGUGAUGGAGCCGUUUGACUGCACUGACUGAAAACAUUGAAAGCCAAUUCCCAAACAACAGCAGUUGGUCUGUCUUCAGUGUCUGACAAACUCUGCAGAGUAUGGGGAUGCUGAGAUGAGGACACUGGCAGAGCAGUUCCCAAGACUGAGGGAGUCUGACCUGGUGUCUGAGUGGGACUCCUACAGACUGAGUGUGAGAAAUUCUGAUCGGAAGGUCGUAUAUAUCAGUUACAUUAACUUCUGCACCACCACUACCACCACUACAGUUUAUUGGUUUUAAAGAAUAAUUUUAUCUUUGUUCACACUUUGCUCAACUUCAGACCAAAUGGCUUGUAUCUCCAGAAUCCCCAAGCUGUAGCCCACCCUGAGCCUUGCAUCUACAAUCGCCCUCACACUGUUAAUUGCAAGUAUUUGUAUGACAAUUAAUCAUCAAAUACAAUUUCAUGAUUGUGACAGCCCUUGGUAGAGGUGAAGCUUAGUGUGCCAUGUAGAUUAAUG